ensembl:lncRNA
GACGGCUGUGUCAGUGGCCAUCUGGUGGCUCGGGACAGCUUGCUAAGCCUGGCAUCAGACCUGAGUUCAAAUCCUGCCUCACACACUGACUAGCUGUGUGACCUUGGCCAUGUCCCUUAACCCAUCUGCCUCAGUUUCCCCAGCUUCAAGACACAGAUCCUCCGAGCCCAUCCACGUUUGCAAAGGGCUUCGAGGGAGGCUCGGCACGGAGUGGGCUUGUUUCCUUCCUCGCUGCAUCCAGAGCACCUCGAGGGCUCGUCUCUGAGACGGGGUGCUCUGGGGGGCUCCCCCUCGUGGGGCUGCUCCUCCGGACACUUGGGCAGCCCGAGACAGGUGUCUGAGAGAGGCCGGCUGCACCCAGAGGGGGAAACCGAGGCAGGCCCGGCACGCAGAGACCGCGGGAGGGCCACAGGAUGGGGGGGAGGUCCUGGCGGGAGGGGCCGCCAGGCUGGGCACUGCCUGCCUCCGUCCUGGCAGCCCUGGACCCCUCCCCCAGCCUCUCACCAGCUUCCGUUUCCACGCCGUGUCCAGGUGGGCUGCAGCACCGCACGAUGCCCGGCGGCCGGAGACCCCCCGACCCUGCUGGAGCCCCCGGCCUACCCCCCCGUCCGGGUCAUCCACGCCAGGGUGUCCUCGAGCAGCGCCUCGGACGUCUCCUCCAUCAGCUCCGAGCUGGAGCAAAAGUACUGGGAGGCCCUGAACGCCGAGCAGGUAGGCUCUGACGGGGUGGCCAGAUUCGAACCCGGGUCCUCCUGGGUCCUCGUUCUAGAGGGGAGCAGACGGGCUUUUGUCCCUUCUUGGAGCGGCCGGGAGGGAAGGCCUGAGGAGGGCCGGCCGGGGUUCCAGUGCCGUAGGGGGAGGACGUGCCCCAGGAGCCGUGUCUUCUGUUGGCAGUGGGACCCUGAAGACCCCCCUCCAGCCCGGAGCAGAGCCCCCCCGGCCGGGCCCCAGGGACGUCGUCCCACUUCUCGCUGCUCAGAGGCCAGAGAGGCAGCCAACGGGUCCGAAGCUCCCUGAUGGAGGACCCUGCAGAGCCCAGGACGGCCUCCAAACGGGCCUCCCUAAGAACGGGCCUCCGAAGGCCUCAACGGCCAGCUCCGGCCCCUCCUCACGCUCCGGUUUUUCCUUUCCUGUCUUCACUGAAGGCCGUCCUUGGCAGGACGUCCCAGGUUCCAGGCUGGCCUCAGACACUCCCUCUCGGCGUGACCCUGGGCGAGUCCCUUCACCCCCUGGCGCAGCUCUUUCCACUCUUCUGCCUUGAAGGGGAGGGUGAGAAGCUCCUGCCCUGAGGACUUUGUACAGCUGGGAGAGCUGAGAUUGGGAGGGGGCUUGUCCUGCCUCUGCCCAGCCCCUCCGCCUGCUCCCUCCCCUUCACUCGGCCAGCCGCCAGCUUGGGGGAACCAAGGCAGAAGGAGGAGCUGGAUUCGAACGGGGAACCAGCAGUCAGAGGCCACUUUUCACGGCUGUCGCCGUGUCUCCCCCGAGGCCCCCCAGACAUCUGGAGUUGCUGCUCGGAAGGCCUCUGUGGGAGCGAGGCCAUUGUGAGCCCCCUCCAGGCAGGGCCGGGUGCUGAGAGCCCCCUAAUGAAGUGCGAAGGCAGCCUCCCGCCUGCCCUGGGGGAAACUGAGGCUCAGACGACCAGCGCCAAUGGAGCAGCCUCUCAGCAACAUGACCGUGGACUAGAGCGUCCUACCCCUUGUCCGGCCUGCUCCAGCCUUAACUGCCCAGCCAGAGGCCCUCACUAGACACAGCGCAGGUGCCCCACCUCCACGUUUUAGUGGGGAAGAGUGUCCUGGAGGAGGGGCUGCAUGGAGGGCUCCCCUGGACCUCCCACUUCAGCAGCCCCCUGGCGCGGAGGACAGAUGCUGCCUCGGCUGCACUCACUCUCCAGCUGCCUUGGCUGCACUCGCUCUCUCCCUUCAUCCGCGAGGCAGCCCUGUGUACUCACUUUCUAACUCGUUUUCAAAUGUUCCAGAGAGUUUCAGCGGACUUUGAGGGGGGCCAGAAAGCCCAUUUUCUUCUAAAAACGCAUUUGCAGGGACACUUCUGCAUAGUUGGUGGACUGGAUUCAGAAAGGAGGCUGGGCCAGGAGCUCAAGCAUCGAGCGAGGCUUCCCUUUGGGUCUCUUCCGCAGCCCUGAACACAAUGGAAGCCGUCCCUGAACCGCUGGGUCUCGGCAGGGUUCGACCAAGGCGUCGUCCUGGUCCUCCCCACAUGCCGCAAGUCAUCCUUUCUGUUGGGGCCCUUUUAGGGAGAGCCAAAACGCCUCCAUGCCAUGAAUAAAUGCCAUUUUUCAGAGUGCUUCCUCUUCUUC